CCUACGGGUGGCUGCAGUCGAGAAUCAUUCACAAUGGGGGAAACCCUGAUGGUGCGACGCCGCGUGGGGGAAUGAAGGUCUUAGGAUUGUAAACCCCUGUCAUGUGGGAGCAAAGUAAAAAGAUAGUACCACAAGAGGAAGAGACGGCUAACUCUGUGCCAGCAGCCGCGGUAAUACAGAGGUCUCAAGCGUUGUUCGGAAUCACUGGGCGUAAAGCGUGCGUAGGCUGUUUCGUAAGUCGUGUGUGAAAGGCGCGGGCUCAACCCGCGGACGGCACAUGAUACUGCGAGACUAGAGUAAGGGAGGGGGAAGCGGAAUUCUCGGUGUAGCAGUGAAAUGCGUAGAUAUCGAGAGGAACACUGGUGGCGAAGGCGGGUUCCUGGACAUUAACUGACGCUGAGGCACGAAGGCCAGGGGAGCGAAAGGGAUUAGAUACCCCAGUAGUC
rnacentral:rRNA from 1 species